GGAGGAAAAGAAACUAACAAGGAUUCCCCUAGUAACGGCGAGUGAAGCGGGAAGAAGCUCAAAUUUAAAAUCUGGCAGGCUACGCUUGUCCGAAUUGUAAUCUCGAGAAGUGUUUUCCGCGUUGGCCUGUGUACAAGUCCCUUGGAACAGGGCGUCAUAGAGGGUGAGAAUCCCGUCCUUGACACAGACACCCAAUGCUUUGUGAUACACUCUCAAUGAGUCGAGUUGUUUGGGAAUGCAGCUCAAAAUGGGUGGUAAAUUCCAUCUAAAGCUAAAUACUGGCGAGAGACCGAUAGCGAACAAGUACCGUGAGGGAAAGAUGAAAAGCACUUUGGAAAGAGAGUCAAACAGUACGUGAAAUUGUUGAAAGGGAAACGAUUGAAGUCAGUCGUGCCUGCCUAGAUUCAGCCUUCUGGUGUAUUUCUAGGUCGGCAGGUCAGCAUCAGUUUGGGGGGGUUAACAAGGGAGCUGGGAAUGUGGCAACCUCGGUUGUGUUAUAGCCCAGUUUCGCAUUGAUCUCGCUGGACUGAGGAACGCAGUGCGCCCGCAAGGGUUGGUCUUCGGACACAUUCGCACUUAGGAUGCUGGCAUAAUGGCUUUAAACGACCCU
rnacentral:rRNA from 1 species